rnacentral:rRNA from 1 species
CCUACGGUAGGCAGCAGUGGGGAAUAUUGGACAAUGGGCGAAAGCCUGAUCCAGCCAUGCCGCGUGUGUGAAGAAGGCCUUCGGGUUGUAAAGCACUUUCAGUGGGGAAGAAAGCCUUGGGGCUAAUACCCUCGAGGAAGGACAUCACCCACAGAAGAAGCACCGGCUAACUCCGUGCCAGCAGCCGCGGUAAUACGGAGGGUGCGAGCGUUAAUCGGAAUUACUGGGCGUAAAGCGCGCGUAGGCGGUCUGAUAAGCCGGUUGUGAAAGCCCCGGGCUCAACCUGGGAACGGCAUCCGGAACUGUCAGGCUAGAGUGCAGGAGAGGAAGGUAGAAUUCCCGGUGUAGCGGUGAAAUGCGUAGAGAUCGGGAGGAAUACCAGUGGCGAAGGCGGCCUUCUGGACUGACACUGACGCUGAGGUGCGAAAGCGUGGGUAGCAAACAGGAUUAGAUACCCCAGUAGUC